rnacentral:tRNA from 1 species
GAGGGUAUAGCUCAGUGAUAGAGCGUGUGCUUAGCAUGCAUGCAGUCUUGGGUUCAAUCCCCAGUACCUCCA